AGUGAACGCUGGCGGUAGGCCUAACACAUGCAAGUCGAACGGCAGCACAGUAAGAGCUUGCUCUUACGGGUGGCGAGUGGCGGACGGGUGAGGAAUACAUCGGAAUCUACUUUUUCGUGGGGGAUAACGUAGGGAAACUUACGCUAAUACCGCAUACGACCUACGGGUGAAAGCAGGGGAUCUUCGGACCUUGCGCGAUUGAAUGAGCCGAUGUCGGAUUAGCUAGUUGGCGGGGUAAAGGCCCACCAAGGCGACGAUCCGUAGCUGGUCUGAGAGGAUGAUCAGCCACACUGGAACUGAGCCACGGUCCAGACUCCUACGGGAGGCAGCAGUGGGGAAUAUUGGACAAUAGGCGCAAGCCUGAUCCAGCCAUACCGCGUGGGUGAAGAAGGCCUUCGGGUUGUAAAGCCCUUUUGUUGGGAAAGAAAAGCAGCAGGUUAAUACCCCGCUGUUCUGACGGUACCCAAAGAAUAAGCACCGGCUAACUUCGUG
rnacentral:rRNA from 1 species